AAGUCAGAGGGACAUGACCUCCCCACUGGUCUCCAGACAACUUUGUUUUAGUCUCCAUUGGGCUAGAAGAAUUAAGUAAAACUUACUCAUAUUGUAUUUCAUUCUUCUCCAUGAGGGUCUGGACAGAUCUAGACUGAUGUGCACCGACAUGGAAAUCCACCUGCAUCUGAGUGACUAUAUGAGGGGCUGAAUCUGGGUGCCAGAAGUCAAGCUGCACAGGGAGAAAUUCAAAGUGUCUUACUUUAGUAUGUAGUCAAAGUCAAGCGUGCACUUGUGAAUGAUGGCGGCUCCAUAGCAACCACAGAAUAUUUCCGAUGAACAUCAUGCAGUAGCAUUCCAUGCAUAUGAUGCACACUCUUACAUUCCUUACAUUCAAUUGCCUGAGGAAUUCUCUCAUCUGACAUAACCAGGAGACCUACUGUGAAUUACACAAGAUUUGCUAGUGUUUAGUAGCAGUUCUGGAAAUAAGUCUUCAAGAUUUCUUAGGGAUGCUGGAGAUGAGACAGUGAAACAGACCUUGCAAUAAUUAAUCCAGAUCUGACAGUAUUCUGAGGAGAUGGCUGCAGCUGACAUGCUGGGGAAAUUCUUGGGCGCGUGUGACACAGCAUACCUGGCUCCUGAAUUGUGUCCCAUAGAGGAGAGUCUGGACAUAUCUGGAUUGACCCAGAAAUCCACUUCCACGUUAGCAACUUCAUCAUGAGCUGAAUCCAGAUGACAGAAAUUGAGCUGCACAGAGAAAUGAGGAGUGUCUCGUUUUAGUGCUUACAUAGUGCAAUUGGCCUGGUUGGCUUUAUCUGAGAUUCAGGGAGUGCAAAUCCAUAUGUGCCUUUAUCACGGAGCUCAAAGGUGAAGGAGUACUUGAUACCCUGAUCAUAAGCCCAGUCAUCAGAACCACCAGCAGCAGGAUCUGCAUUGGGAGAGAAGAAAACUUGACUAGAAAAGGACAACUCACUGGAAUUCCUAGUGUGCCCAUCACCUUAGUAUUUGGGCGUUACAUAGUUAUUGUGCAAAUCUCAUUGGUAACCUACAGGCGCAUGUUCGCACAUUUGCAGAACUGGAAGUGUUGCAUCCACACCUUCAGGACAGUGAAGUAAAUGGGACCAGUUGCAAAGAAAAGUACUACUCAACAAGAGUAAAGAUAUCACAGUCUACACCAUUACG